rnacentral:rRNA from 1 species
GACGAACGCUGGCGGCGUGCCUAAUACAUGCAAGUAGAACGCUGAAGGAGGAGCUUGCUCUUCUGGAUGAGUUGCGAACGGGUGAGUAACGCGUAGGUAACCUGCCUGGUAGCGGGGGAUAACUAUUGGAAACGAUAGCUAAUACCGCAUAACAGUAGAUGUUGCAUGACAUUUGCUUAAAAGGUGCAAUUGCACCACUACCAGAUGGACCUGCGUUGUAUUAGCUAGUUGGUGGGGUAACGGCUCACCAAGGCGACGAUACAUAGCCGACCUGAGAGGGUGAUCGGCCACACUGGGACUGAUACACGGCCCAGACUCCUACGGGAGGCAGCAGUAGGGAAUCUUCGGCAAUGGACGGAAGUCUGACCGAGCAACGCCGCGUGAGUGAAGAAGGUUUUCGGAUCGUAAAGCUCUGUUGUAAGAGAAGAACGAGUGUGAGAGUGGAAAGUUCACACUGUGACGGUAUCUUACCAGAAAGGGACGGCUAACUACGUG